AUGAAUGGAAGGCGUGCAUAAAAGACAUACAUCACGGUGGACCCCACAGAGCCCUUGGCUGGACCGAGUCCAACCUGGGAGGAGUGGGACGAAAUCCGCGUCCACCACUAUCGUAGUCGAACAACAACCCUUCAACUACUGAUUAACAAAACCGAAAAAAAAAACGAAUAUUUAAAAUAUGAUAUUGCAAUCUGCAUAAGGGAGAGAGUAGAGAAAUGAGCUGCUUUUAAAAAAAAAAUUGUUAUUGACAAAUCAUGUCCAGCUAAGCAUUAUGGUGUUCUUCCUCUCUUCUUCCAUAUAUCGCAUUGAGAAGAACCAUUUCAGCUCUCACCUCCAUUUAUGAGAUAAAAUGCCUGGAAGAGCCUUUGUUUUGAUCUUUUUCUUGUGGGCCCUACUCGCCAUCAUCACCCCAACCCUUAUUUUCUGGUCUGCAUCAGCAAAGCCCCUUUUGGAUUCCACAGUGGAAAGAAACGGUGAUUUUAAGGCGAGGAGAAUGAUGGACUAUUUAGAGAGAGGACGUAAACGAAGUGCAGCAACCGCACCCGCACCCGCACCAGCGCCGGCGCCAGCAGCUGAGAGGGGAAGCUAAGCUAGUAGAUAUUUGGCAUAGAAGAAUGAUUGUAAAGGGAUGAAUUAAAGAUGUUUAUGCUAUAAUUUUAGUGGGUGAAAAAAGAGGACAUGUAAAUUUUAUAUUUGAACAACUUUGGGAAUUACAAGAGAUUGAUGAAUCUCAACAUUAAAGAGAAUGAUUGAUAUACAUCUACAAUGUGAUUUGAUAGAAGACAUAAUUACAUGGCCAUAGCUGCGGAAUGUAUGAUUUGUAUGGUUUCCACCAUAGAUGAAUUUCAAUACAAACUGUCAUUCAUAUA